ensembl:lncRNA
CAUCCAUCCUCCCUCCACUGUAGGGACUAGACACACCUCUGUCCCCUCUGCCCUCCAUCCUCCCUCCACUGUAGGGACUAGACACACCUCUGUCCCCUCUGCCCUCCAUCCUCCCUCCACCGUAGGGACUAGACACACCUCUGUCCCCUCUGCCCUCCAUCCUCCCUCCACUGUAGGGACUAGACACACCUCUGUCCCCUCUGCCCUCCAUCCUCCCUCCACCGUAGGGACUAGACACACCUCUGUCCCCUCUGCCCUCCAUCCUCCCUCCACUGUAGGGACUAGACACACCUCUGUCCCCUCUGCCCUCCAUCCUCCCUCCACCGUAGGGACUAGACACACCUCUGUUCCCUCUGCCCUCCAUCCCCCUCCCUCCACUGUAGGGACUAGACACACCUCUGUCCCCUCUGCCCUCCAUCCUCCCCUCCAGGGACUAGACACACCUCUGUCCCCUCUGCCCUCCAUCCUCCCUCCACCGUAGGGACUAGACACACCUCUGUCCCCUCUGCCCUCCAUCCUCCCUCCACCGUAGGGACUAGACACACCUCUGUCCCCUCUGCCCUCCAUCCUCCCUCCACCAUAGGGACUAGACACCUCUGUCCCCCUCCCCCCUACACAGGGCAGCUGUACUGAAGCCACACUGGACUGAACAGAACUGAACUCAGCCAAAGCCCAGAGUUUGUUGGCAGAAGUUUUUCUCUUGAAACCUGGUCAGCUUUAGAUUAAUCAUCACUACUAACAUUGAUAACAGGGUCAUAUGGAGGUUAGGGGUCAUAUGGAGGUUAGGGGUCAUAUGGAGGUUAGGGGUCAUAUGGAGGUUAGGGGUCAUAUGGAGGUUAGCGGUCAUAUGGGGGUUAGGGGUCAUAUGGAGGUUAGGGAUCAUAUGGAGGUUAGGGGACGUAUGGAGGUUAGCGGUCAUAUGGGAGGCUCCCAUGCAGGGUAGCCAGGGUUAUUAUGGAUGAGCGUAUAGUACAGGGCUGCGCUGCGGGGUUUUGCACCCACCCAGCACUAAAACACCUGCUGUGCUGAUUCACCUAAUUCAUGAAGAAUAGUUUUAUUUGUUGUUUUGUUAGUGGUGGGCUGGAACAAAACCCUGCACACAUACAGCACACUGAUGGCCCUGUGUAAGACGUGAUGUUAUCACCAACCACCAGUGGAUGCUAGACAGAACAGUGUGACAGUUAAACAGUAAGGUGGUGUCGCCUCCAGAGGUCAGCUCCAUUUAGAUUCCAGCCAGUUCAGAAACUGAAGCGUGUUCCAAAUCCACAUUAUCCUCAUUGAAAAGCAUUGAGGAGAAUUGGAAUUUCGCUAUACUUCCUGAAUUGACAGGAAUUCAAAUUCAACUGACCCCAACCCCGAUACCCUCAUAUUCUGUUUUUACUUACUUUUUAUAUUGUUUUAUUACCAGCUGAUGGGGAGGAGCUAAUUAUGACCUAAUUUAUGUUACAUGUAUUAAUCUUAUAAAAAAUAAUCUCAGUCAGGAAGUAUAUCUUGAAUCAUCCUCCCCCAGUUUCUGCUCAUGCUAAAGCACACUGUUUUUAGUUUAGGGAUAGUGUGUCAAGCGUCUGAGUAUGAGAGCUGAUCCAGGAUCAGGUCCCAACCUGUCCACACAAUCUUAUUAAUUGUCUUCUAAAAGGCAAAACUGAUCCUAGAUCAGCACUUCUACCCUGAGACGAAUGAGACAUUGGAGCCCAGCUAUCUUAACGGCUUAAUAAUGAUGAGCGAGGACCGACACACCAAAUAACAUUAUGAUGAAGUCUCAGUUGCUCCCUAACGUUGUAAAAAUGUUUUUGUAAAAACAAUGUAUUUUCUUUUCCUAUUGUAUUGUUCAGUGAACAGGGUUUGUCACUGUUUUUCUCUUAUUGGUCGUUUAAUAAAUCAUUUUUAAAC